rnacentral:rRNA from 2 species
UGGGGAAUUGUUCGCAAUGGGCGCAAGCCUGACGACGCAACGCCGCGUGGAGGAUGAAGGUCUUCGGAUUGUAAACUCCUGUUGCUCGGGACGAAAAGCUUCGACCUAACACGUCGAAGUCUGACGGUACCGAGUGAGGAAGCCCCGGCUAACUCUGUGCCAGCAGCCGCGGUAAUACAGAGGGGGCAAGCGUUGUUCGGAAUUACUGGGCGUAAAGGGCGCGUAGGCGGCCUGCUAAGUCGAACGUGAAAUCCCUGGGCUCAACCCAGGAACUGCGUCCGAUACUGGUUGGCUUGAAUCCGGGAGAGGGAUGUGGAAUUCCAGGUGUAGCGGUGAAAUGCGUAGAUAUCUGGAGGAACACCGGUGGCGAAGGCGACAUCCUGGACCGGUAUUGACGCUGAGGCGCGAAAGCCAGGGGAGCAAACGGG